rnacentral:rRNA from 1 species
AGCGAACGCUGGCGGCAGGCCUAACACAUGCAAGUCGAACGAACUCUUCGGAGUUAGUGGCGGACGGGUGAGUAACACGUGGGAACGUGCCUUUAGGUUCGGAAUAACUCAGGGAAACUUGAGCUAAUACCGGAUGUGCCCUUCGGGGGAAAGAUUUAUCGCCUUUAGAGCGGCCCGCGUCUGAUUAGCUAGUUGGUGAGGUAAAGGCUCACCAAGGCGACGAUCAGUAGCUGGUCUGAGAGGAUGAUCAGCCACAUUGGGACUGAGACACGGCCCAAACUCCUACGGGAGGCAGCUGUGGGGAAUCUUGCGCAAUGGGCGAAAGCCUGACGCAGCCAUGCCGCGUGAAUGAUGAAGGUCUUAGGAUUGUAAAAUUCUUUCACCGGGGACGAUAAUGACGGUACCCGGAGAAGAAGCCCCGGCUAACUUCGUG